AAGUCGUAACAAGGUUUCCGUAGGUGAACCUGCGGAAGGAUCAUUACCAAUGGAGCAGCAUUCAUUUGCUUUGCUACCAUAUCCAUCCUUUUGUGCUUUACAUACAGUCCUCUGCGCCUAUGCGUCGUCUUCAUUGCUGUUGCUGCUGCUCUGCGGCAUGCGGGGUGAUGAAUGCGCGCGUAGGAUGCGGUGAAAAAACAUAUAGGAGUGAUUUUCGCUAGUCUUUGGGUCAUGAUCACGGUGCUAGCUCGUCUAGCAUUGUGUGCACCUAUGAAUGGGAUAAAGAUAACUUUUGGCAAUGGAUCUCUAGGCUCUC
rnacentral:misc_RNA from 1 species